ACGGCGGACGGGUGAGUAACGCUGGGUAACCUACCCUGUACACACGGAUAACAUACCGAAAGGUAAUGCUAAUACGGGAUAAUAUAUUUGAGAGGCAUCUCUUAAAUUAUCAAAGGUGAGCCAGUACAGGAUGGACCCGCGUCUGAUUAGCUAGUUGGUAAGGUAACGGCUUACCAAGGCGACGAUCAGUAGCCGACCUGAGAGGGUGAUCGGCCACAUUGGAACUGAGACACGGUCCAA
rnacentral:rRNA from 1 species